rnacentral:rRNA from 3 species
AAUCCAUAGGUUAAUGAGGCGAACCGGGGGAACUGAAACAUCUAAGUACCCCGAGGAAAAGAAAUCAACCGAGAUUCCCCCAGUAGCGGCGAGCGAACGGGGAGGAGCCCAGAGCCUGAAUCAGCAUGUGUGUUAGUGGAAGCGUCUGGAAAGGCGCGCGAUACAGGGUGACAGCCCCGUACACAAAAGCGCAUGUGCUGUGAGCUCGAUGAGUAGGGCGGGACACGUGGUAUCCUGUCUGAAUAUGGGGGGACCAUCCUCCAAGGCUAAAUACUCCUGACUGACCGAUAGUGAACCAGUACCGUGAGGGAAAGGCGAAAAGAACCCCGGCGAGGGGAGUGAAAAAGAACCUGAAACCGUGUACGUACAAGCAGUGGGAGCACCCUUUGGGUGUGACUGCGUACCUUUUGUAUAAUGGGUCAGCGACUUAUAUUCUGUAGCAAGGUUAACCGAAUAGGGGAGCCGGAGGGAAACCGAGUCUUAAUUGGGCGUUAAGUUGCAGGGUAUAGACCCGAAACCCGGUGAUCUAGCCAUGGGCAGGUUGAAGGUUGGGUAACACUAACUGGAGGACCGAACCGACUAAUGUUGAAAAAUUAGCGGAUGACCUGUGGCUGGGGGUGAAAGGCCAAUCAAACCGGGAGAUAGCUGGUUCUCCCCGAAAGCUAUUUAGGUAGCGCCUCGUGAAUUCAUCUCCGGGGGUAGAGCACUGUUUCGGCUAGGGGGCCAUCCCGGCUUACCAACCCGAUGCAAACUGCGAAUACCGGAGAAUGUUAUCACGGGAGACACACGGCGGGUGCUAACGUCCGUCGUGAAGAGGGAAACAACCCAGACCGCCAGCUAAGGUCCCAAAGUCAUGGUUAAGUGGGAAACGAUGUGGGAAGGCCCAGACAGCCAGGAUGUUGGCUUAGAAGCAGCCAUCAUUUAAAGAAAGCGUAAUAGCUCACUGGUCGAGUCGGCCUGCGCGGAAGAUGUAACGGGGCUAAACCAUGCACCGAAGCUGCGGCAGCGACACUGUGUGUUGUUGGGUAGGGGAGCGUUCUGUAAGCCUGUGAAGGUGUGUCGUGAGGCAUGCUGGAGGUAUCAGAAGUGCGAAUGCUGACAUAAGUAACGAUAAAGCGGGUGAAAAGCCCGCUCGCCGGAAGACCAAGGGUUCCUGUCCAACGUUAAUCGGGGCAGGGUGAGUCGACCCCUAAGGCGAGGCCGAAAGGCGUAGUCGAUGGGAAACGGGUUAAUAUUCCCGUACUUGGUGUUACUGCGAAGGGGGGACGGAGAAGGCUAUGUUGGCCGGGCGACGGUUGUCCCGGUUUAAGCGUGUAGGUGUGUGUUCCAGGUAAAUCCGGUUCACUUUAACACUGAGGCGUGACGACGAGGCACUACGGUGCUGAAGCAACAAAUGCCCUGCUUCCAGGAAAAGCCUCUAAGCAUCAGGUAACAUCAAAUCGUACCCCAAACCGACACAGGUGGUCAGGUAGAGAAUACCAAGGCGCUUGAGAGAACUCGGGUGAAGGAACUAGGCAAAAUGGUGCCGUAACUUCGGGAGAAGGCACGCUGACACGUAGGUGAAGUGAUUUACUCAUGGAGCUGAAGUCAGUCGAAGAUACCAGCUGGCUGCAACUGUUUAUUAAAAACACAGCACUGUGCAAACACGAAAGUGGACGUAUACGGUGUGACGCCUGCCCGGUGCCGGAAGGUUAAUUGAUGGGGUCAGCGCAAGCGAAGCUCCUGAUCGAAGCCCCGGUAAACGGCGGCCGUAACUAUAACGGUCCUAAGGUAGCGAAAUUCCUUGUCGGGUAAGUUCCGACCUGCACGAAUGGCGUAAUGAUGGCCAGGCUGUCUCCACCCGAGACUCAGUGAAAUUGAACUCGCUGUGAAGAUGCAGUGUACCCGCGGCAAGACGGAAAGACCCCGUGAACCUUUACUAUAGCUUGACACUGAACAUUGAGCCUUGAUGUGUAGGAUAGGUGGGAGGCUUUGAAGUGUGGACGCCAGUCUGCAUGGAGCCGACCUUGAAAUACCACCCUUUAAUGUUUGAUGUUCUAACGUGGACCCGUUACCCGGGUUGCGGACAGUGUCUGGUGGGUAGUUUGACUGGGGCGGUCUCCUCCUAAAGAGUAACGGAGGAGCACGAAGGUUGGCUAAUCCUGGUCGGACAUCAGGAGGUUAGUGCAAUGGCAUAAGCCAGCUUGACUGCGAGCGUGACGGCGCGAGCAGGUGCGAAAGCAGGUCAUAGUGAUCCGGUGGUUCUGAAUGGAAGGGCCAUCGCUCAACGGAUAAAAGGUACUCCGGGGAUAACAGGCUGAUACCGCCCAAGAGUUCAUAUCGACGGCGGUGUUUGGCACCUCGAUGUCGGCUCAUCACAUCCUGGGGCUGAAGUAGGUCCCAAGGGUAUGGCUGUUCGCCAUUUAAAGUGGUACGCGAGCUGGGUUUAGAACGUCGUGAGACAGUUCGGUCCCUAUCUGCCGUGGGCGCUGGAGAACUGAGGGGGGCUGCUCCUAGUACGAGAGGACCGGAGUGGACGCAUCACUGGUGUUCGGGUUGUCAUGCCAAUGGCACUGCCCGGUAGCUAAAUGCGGAAGAGAUAAGUGCUGAAAGCAUCUAAGCACGAAACUUGCCCCGAG